rnacentral:misc_RNA from 1 species
UUAAAAAAAAAAAAAGAAUAGGGAAAUUUAGUUUGGAUCAUGGUUGCUUCAACUCUUUAAAAUAAAACACCUGUUUGAGGUAAGAAUAUGCUACUGGGAAACAUUAAAAGAAUAUGUGAAAACUGAAAAUUUUGAAAUGCUGUCAACUUCAAAUUUCGGACAUAUAUUCUCACAAUUAAUACUCAUACCUGGGGAAAAGUAAAUUUUCAGAGUUAAGAGCUGGAUAAAUUUUACUGUUGUCUUACAUAAGCAAAACCGACUCUCUCUUCGUUUUCUG